rnacentral:lncRNA from 10 species
GGCCUGCAGGGUAGCGUGAGGCGGCGCGCGGUGUCCUGGCCGCCGCGGACGCGAAGACAGGCGGGAGCGAGCGCGGGCCCGCGGCGCGCUCCAGGCGCAAACAGCCUAGAACGCGAGCCGAGCGCUCUCGCGGAUCCGGCGACCGCGGAGGGGAGAGGAGCGCCGGACGCUCUCGCACGCCCGCCCGCCCGCCCGCGCACCUCCAACCCACCUGCCGCCGGCCAGACAGGAAUGGACUGUGUGACUGAAUGAAAUGGCGGGGCCAUAAGCCAUCCAAGGAGCCGCCUCCGUGAAGUUAUAGGCUCGCGGGGUACAAGGAGAAAAAAACAAUCCAGCUCCAACGGUACUGAUGUGACAGGAGGUUGUCACAGCAGAGCGGAAGAUCUGGCAGAAAGACGCUGGGAAAGAAGACACUAGGGGAAAACAUCAGAAAGUUCGGAUGAUGAAAACUCACCUCACGCCACAACAAUCUCUCAGAUUCCAUGACCCUGUGUCUCUAGUCCUGAAGAAGAAAGAGAAACUGACGACCUGGGCAGAAAACAAAAAUAAAAUGAACUCAGACACAGAGACGCAAAGACCCAGUUACUGGACUUUAAAUAAGAGGAGAAGGUUUGAUCUCUGAAUAAAAAUAGAUAUAACAUGAUUAUAAUGAAGCAUAAGUUUCAAAACCCCUCACUUGCACUGGCUGCUUUUUUUUUCUUUUUUUGUUUUUUUUUUUUUGGUAGAGACAGAGACUUGCUCUGUCAUCCAAGCUGGAGUGCAUUGGUGCGAUCUCGGCUCACUGUAAUCUCCCCAUCCCAGGUUCAAGCAAUUCUUCUGCCUCAGGCUCCCAAGUAGCAGCUGGAAUUACAGGUGUGCGCCACCAUGCCCAGCUAAUUUUUGUAUUUUUAGUAGAGACGAGGGUUCACCAUGUUGGCCAGGCUGGUCUUGAACUCCUGACCUCAGGUAAUCCACCUGCCUCAGCCUCCCAAAGUGCUAGAAUUACAGGCAUGAGCCACUGCGUCCAGCCGCACUGGCUGCUGGCUGCUUUUAAACCGCAC